CAUUGUGGAUCGAUAGAACCCAGUAUGCAUUUUGUAGACCCCUCUGCCUGCGACGCAGCGAGAGGAAGGCUGAGGAGGUUGAAAACGAAACCCCCGCGGCCUGCGACGGGGUCGAGGAAGGGGCAAAUGCGACGUUCACUAUGGAACCGCUCGUAGGCAGCGGGGGAAAGAGCGGAAGAAACCGCGAGGAGGAGGAAGUUUCGCGCGCGAGCUUGUGGGACGCUGCUGCGGAGGGGGAAGGGCGGAAUGGGGAGAGAAGAAGGGCGAACGAAAACGAACGCGAGCUUGUGGGUUUCGAUUACGAGGGGUGGGAAGGGCGCAAGAGUCGAGGGGCGAUUCGAACGGUAGUGCGCAAGAGAAGGGAACAGAAAAACGAGACAGAGCAACCUCGACCGAAAUUCGGCUAAGUCCCGAUCGCGGCAGUCGAAAUUUGUCUAAGUCCCGGGAAGCACGCGUUCCGCAGACGGUGCAGUGCAAGUGCAGCCAAGUGUUUGUCGACAAUGUAGUGGAAAGUGAUUGUGAAGCAGUAGGUGUUGACUGCAGUCCACAUGCAAGCAUUCUGCAUCGAACGGUCAACCUAAAGGUCACAGAACACGCCAACGAUCGAAGUACGCGUAUGGAACACGCGGUUGAACAGGAACGUUCAUGAUCGCAGCCCGGAUCACGCCGCCACAGCGACGCCACCAAGCCAGAUGCAGACGGACGAAGACGACGCCACCACCACCAACAGCACGAACGGCAGACAUCACAUCAUGAUGACGUCACACCAUGACGACGUCAUCACCUAAGUCUUAUGGCGUCACGGGGUGGGUUCAAAACAAUUAGGAAAAAUAAACGCCACCGCCAUUGCGCGAUGGCUUACGGA